GGAUCAUUAGCGAGUUGCAAAACUCCCCUAAACACCCGCGAACGCUACCUGCUCGUUGCCUCGGCGGGCGGCCCCCUUCGGGGGGCCUCAAGCCCACGGUGUCCGCCGAAGGCCCCCGAAUACUCUGCACCUAGGGCUUCUCUGAGAACUAUAUAAACCAUCAAAACUUUCAACAACGGAUCUCUUGGUUCUGGCAUCGAUGAAGAACGCAGCGAAAUGCGAUAAGUAAUGUGAAUUGCAGAAUUCAGCGAAUCAUCGAAUCUUUGAACGCACAUUGCGCCCGCCAGUAUUCUGGCGGGCAUGCCUGUCCGAGCGUCAUUUCAACCCUCAAGCCCUGCUUGGUGUUGGGGCCCUACGGCUGCCGUAGGCCCCUAAAAUUAGUGGCGGGCUCGCCAGCACCCCGAGCGUAGUAGACCAUUCCGCUCGCGGCGUGCCGGCGCGCCCCCGCCGUGAAACCCCCACUAUUCACAAGGUUGACCUCGGAUCAGGUAGGAAUACCCGCUGAACUUAAGCAUAUCAAUAAGCGGAGGAAAAGAAACCAACAGGGAUUGCCCUAGUAACGGCGAGUGAAGCGGCAACAGCUCAAAUUUGAAAUCUGCCCCCCGGGGCCGAGUUGUAAUUUGCAGAGGAUGCUUUCGGCGCGGCGCCUUCUGAGUCCCCUGGAACGGGGCGCCAGAGAGGGUGAGAGCCCCGUACGGUUGGACGCCUAGCCGGUGUAAAGCUCCUUCGACGAGUCGAGUAGUUUGGGAAUGCUGCUCUAAAUGGGAGGUAAAUUCCUUCUAAAGCUAAAUAUCUGCCAGAGACCGAUAGCGCACAAGUAGAGUGAUCGAAAGAUGAAAAGCACUUUGAAAAGAGAGUCAAACAGCACGUGAAAUUGUUGAAAGGGAAGCGCCCGUGACCAGACUUGCGCCGGGGCGAUCUCCCGCCGUUCUCGGCGGUGCACUCGCCCCGGCUCAGGCCAGCAUCGGUUCCCACGGGGGGAUAAAAGCGCCGGCAACGUGGCUCCUCCGGGAGUGUUAUAGGCCGGCGCACAAUACCCCCGGGGGGACCGAGGACCGCG
rnacentral:rRNA from 1 species